rnacentral:rRNA from 1 species
AAUGAACGCUGGCGGCGUGGUUAAGACAUGCAAGUCGAACGGUUUUUAUUGAAACGCAAGUGGAUAUAAAAGCAGUGGCGAACGGGUGCGUAACACGUGAACAAUCUACCUUCAAAUGGGGAAUAGCUCGCCGAAAGGCGAAUUAAUACCGCAUGUGGUUGCCUCUCGCAUGAGAAGCAUACCAAAGUCAGGGACCGCAAGGCCUGACGUUAGAAGAGGA